rnacentral:rRNA from 1 species
UGGGGAAUAUUGGACAAUGGGCGAAAGCCUGAUCCAGCCAUGCCGCGUGUGUGAAGAAGGUCUUCGGAUUGUAAAGCACUUUAAGUUGGGAGGAAGGGCAUUAACCUAAUACGUUAGUGUUUUGACGUUACCGACAGAAUAAGCACCGGCUAACUCUGUGCCAGCAGCCGCGGUAAUACAGAGGGUGCAAGCGUUAAUCGGAAUUACUGGGCGUAAAGCGCGCGUAGGUGGUUUGUUAAGUUGGAUGUGAAAGCCCCGGGCUCAACCUGGGAACUGCAUCCAAAACUGGCAAGCUAGAGUACGGUAGAGGGUGGUGGAAUUUCCUGUGUAGCGGUGAAAUGCGUAGAUAUAGGAAGGAACACCAGUGGCGAAGGCGACCACCUGGACUGAUACUGACACUGAGGAGCGAAAGCGUGGGGAGCAAACA